rnacentral:tRNA from 1 species
GCCGGUAUGAUGGAAUUGGCAGACGUGCCAGACUCAAAAUCUGGUGGUGGCAACACCGUGUCGGUUCGACCCCGACUACCGGCACCA